UACGGGGGGGGCAAGCGUUGUUCGGAAUUACUGGGCGGAAAGGGCUCGUAGGUGGCCAACUAAGUCAGACGUGAAAUCCCUCGGCUUAACUUGGGAACUGCGUCUGAUACUGGGAGGCUUGAGUGCGGGAGAGGGAUGUGGAAUUCCAGGUGUAGCGGUGAAAUGCGUAGAUAUCUGGAGGAACACCGGUGGCGAAGGCGGCAUCCUGGACCGACACUGACGCUGAGGCGCGAAAGCUAGGGGAGCAAACAGG
rnacentral:rRNA from 1 species